AACGAACGCUGGCGGCAGGCUUAACACAUGCAAGUCGAGCGCCCCGCAAGGGUAGCGGCAGACGGGUGAGUAACGCGUGGGAACGUACCCUUUGCUACGGAAUAGCUCCGGGAAACUGGAAUUAAUACCGUAUGUGCCCUACGGGGGAAAGAUUUAUCGGCAAAGGAUCGGCCCGCGUUGGAUUAGCUAGUUGGUGGGGUAAUGGCCUACCAAGGCGACGAUCCAUAGCUGGUCUGAGAGGAUGAUCAACCACAUUGGGACUGAGACACGGCCCAAACUCCUACGGGAGGCAGCAGUGGGGAAUAUUGGACAAUGGGCGCAAGCCUGAUCCAGCCAUGCCGCGUGAGUGAUGAAGGCCUUAGGGUUGUAAAGCUCUUUCACCGGAGAAGAUAAUGACGGUAUCCGGAGAAGAAGCCCCGGCUAACUUCGUGCCAGCAGCCGCAGUAACAC
rnacentral:rRNA from 1 species